rnacentral:rRNA from 1 species
GAUGAACGCUGGCGGCGUGCCUAAUACAUGCAAGUCGAGCGAACAGACGAGGAGCUUGCUCCUCUGACGUUAGCGGCGGACGGGUGAGUAACACGUGGAUAACCUACCUAUAAGACUGGGAUAACUUCGGGAAACCGGAGCUAAUACCGGAUAAUAUAUUGAACCGCAUGGUUCAAUAGUGAAAGACGGUUUUGCUGUCACUUAUAGAUGGAUCCGCGCCGCAUUAGCUAGUUGGUAAGGUAACGGCUUACCAAGGCAACGAUGCGUAGCCGACCUGAGAGGGGGAUCGGCCAAACUGGAACUGAGACACGGGCCAGACUCCUACGGGAGGCAGCAGUAGGGAAUCUUCCGCAAUGGGCGAAAGCUUGACGGAGCAACGCCGCGUGAGUGAUGAAGGUCUUCGGAUCGUAAAACUCUGUUAUUAGGGAAGAACAAAUGUGUAAGUAACUAUGCACGUCUUGACGGUACCUAAUCAGAAAGCCACGGCUAACUACGUG